rnacentral:rRNA from 1 species
GAUGAACGCUGGCGGCGUGCUUAACACAUGCAAGUCGAACGGAAAGGCCCAAGCUUGCUUGGGUACUCGAGUGGCGAACGGGUGAGUAACACGUGGGUGAUCUGCCCUGCACUUCGGGAUAAGCCUGGGAAACUGGGUCUAAUACCGGAUAGGACCACAUUUUGGAUGGUGUGGUGGAAAGUUUUUCGGUGUGGGAUGAGCUCGCGGCCUAUCAGCUUGUUGGUGGGGUAAUGGCCUACCAAGGCGUCGACGGGUAGCCGGCCUGAGAGGGUGUACGGCCACAUUGGGACUGAGAGACGGCGCAGACGCCUACGGGAGGCAGCAGUGGGGAAUAUUGCACAAUGGGCGCAAGCCUGAUGCAGCGACGCCGCGUGGGUGAUGACGGCCUUUGGGUUGGAAACUCCGUUCGCUAGGGACGAAGCGUUAUGUGACGGUACCUGGAGAAGAAGCACCGGCUAACUACGUG